UCACAUCUGCCUCAGCGUCGGAA
rnacentral:rRNA from 2 species